UCUUAGGAUAUGAAGGGAUGUGUUCUUCAGAGAAGGCAUUCAUACUUUAUUCAGUUUAUCUUAGAUUGCUUCCUUCUCAUUAUCUUCUCCCAUAAACUACCUGACUUCCUUUGUUUUUUUUCCAAACAGAAGAAAGGAUCUGGACUCUGCCACCAGGAGCUACUGAGUUCAUUGGCUUGAGCUUGUAGUAAUUUUUUUUUUUUUUAAGUUUCCCCUUGGCAGGGAACACAAGUGUUUAUUCAACAUUCAUUCAGUGAAUGUCUUCUAUCAGAGGACUAUUUCAGGUUAUAUGGGUGUGACAUUAUGUGACUUAUGAUUUUUAACUCAGUACUGCAUCAGUUCUAACAAUAAUUAUAAACUAUUUAGAUUCUUAGUUUUAUUGUAUGUUGGAGCCAGUAUGGAAGGUGAUGUUUUACUGUUCUCGUAAUUUAGAUGCUGUCAAUAUAUCAUCAUCAUCAUCAAUAUAUAAUUAGCUAGAAGAGUCUAAUAGUAAUGUGUUACAAGAAGUAAUAGUAAUGAAAGAAGAUAUUCCAAUUCUUCCUUUUAUUAUAAGGGCAGGUUGAAGUGUAAAUUAUAGGUACCUGAUGAUAGUAGGUUGUAAGUUCAAAUCUCAAAAUUGUAAUUAUUGGCUGGGUGACCUUGGGCCUGAAUUUCUACACUUGUACAUUAGAAUGUACAAAUUCCAUUCAGUUUCAGAUCCCUCUUUCCUCAACUUUAAAAGACUAUAUUAACUUGAAAUGUCUAGUGGUUUCAUAGAUAACAUUUGUGGUGAAGAUUCCUUCUUGUCCAUCCAAUUGCCCAUCUGUACCCCCUCAGUAUUUAAGAGUUGAAAAACUAAAGCCGAGAAAGAAAAAAUAUUUGACUGAGAGAAAACACUAAAUAAUUUAAAAAUAAAAAUGAAUCGUGGUUGCAGAUCAACUCAUCCAGACCACUCAGUCUUCAGGAUGAAUUGAGUGUUGCCAUGGGGGUGGAGUGCUGAGUUUGUUUGUUUGUUUUUUAAUUCAAUUAGCCGACAACACAUAGUGCUUGGUUUACCACUGGGAUUUAGGAAGGAAUUGCCAAACUGUCUGUGAUGGCAAAUAAUCUAUAACCUAAGGGCUUAGAUGAAAACUACUUUCAGGCUGUUUUGUUAUUGAGGUUGCACUGUAUUAGAUGCUCAGCAAAACCUGGUGAUUCGAAGCUGGUCAGUGAAGAUACUGAAUUGUAGAUGACCAAAUCUCCACUGUGUUGUAGAUGUAAGAGCUGGAGAUACCAUCCAACACUAUUCAGCACUUUCUAUGUCAGGCACGAAACAUUCACAUUUACUAACCUAUUUAAUUAUCACUACCACCUCAUGAGAUUAGUAUUGUUACCACCCCCAUUUUACUUAUGAGGAAAGUGAAGCACAAAGAAAGGAACAUUGUCCAUGCAAGGAAGCCAAAGGACUGGAAAGCUCAUGUAGGCAAUCUGAUACCAUAGCCUAACUGUUAAACACUUUGCUAUUCUUGCUACUUAUAUUUUGUGGGCUCUCUAAGGAGAAUUGGUACAAAGGUAUGUAUGUAUCUUUCCUUCUGUGAUUGUUUUUAGGUUGGAAGUAGCUCUAACAGAGGACCCACAUGGGAAAGGGUCUGAGAGAAGAGCAGCAGAAUAGAAAGUAGUCAUGUCACAGGGCUUUGGAGCCACAUUCAGUUCUCCAUUCUGGGACAUCUUCAGUCAUUGGACUCUGAGGAAUUUGAAGAGCUCACCAAGGCGCUUCAUUUUGUUAAAUGCUCCCAGUGAGCCUUCCUGUGUUAUGUGGAAUUUCAUUAAUUUGGAACUCAAUGUCAUUGCAUUCAGACAAGGCCAGUCUAGAGGGCAGAAUUUUGGAGGAAUUCAUGGAAAGGAGGAUGCUGGAAUAUUCAAAGGAGGAACAGAGAGUUUCUAUGUAAGCACCACGAAAAUCAACCUUUUAAGCACAGAUUGAUUCUGACAGUUUUUAUUUUACGUGAUUUCCAAGAAUUGGUAUAGAGAUGCCUCUUAAUUGAAAUAGUUCUCCUUUUUGGCUUUUAUUUUAUUGUCCUUUACUUCUUGACAUCUUGUACAUUAAAUCAGAGGCUGUUUUAGAGACAUGAAAUGACAGCUUUUUCAGAGCGCGAUUCUGGAUCCUGAUAGAUCUGCACUUCUCAAAGCAGACAGGCUGCUCUCCACAGCCUCCGAGAAGCUUCCUGCGCGAUGGGCACGUCACCUGGAAACACAACCAUAAACUGCAGGUUAAUCACCAAGGACCGACUCGUGUCAAUUCCCCACUGCCCUGCUUCCCAUCUGAGAGGAAUAAAGCCAAGAACUAUUUUUUUUCUUUGCUAUUUAAUUUAACAGAAUCUGGGCUCAACUUUAGUUGGAAAUUAUAUUUCCUCUAGACCACAAUGGAAAGGCUACUCACAUAAUUUAGUAGCUGUGUUGUAAAGAAAAAUCAAAGCAUCCUCAUGGAAUAUUUUCCCUGAUUGCAUCUUCCUGUGAUGAGAGAACACAUAAAGUGAAUGAGAUGUGACACAGGCAUGAACAGAGAACCCAUUUGUUACACUGAAAUUGCGAGAAAAAUGCUAUUUGUGUUACUAUGAUGUUUUGGAGUUAGAAAAGGGUUAUUUGGGAAAAAAUGUGUAUCUAUAUCAGAGUCAGUAGGAAUAAAAAUGAGACAGGAUGCAAAUAUAUGAUAGCACAGGAAAGCACAGCUCCACAGACCAGACCAGUCCUGUUCGAGGUAGCAGGCAAACAACGGAAACGCUAACAAGAUGAGCAUUCUGGAUUUGUUUUUCAGUUCUACCUAACUCUUUGUAACUUUACAAUGCAAGAUUCAGAAAUUGGAGCCAAUUACCAUAAUAUGUGGUGGUUUGGUGGGAGCAUGUUCUACAUCAGACAGUUAAAAGGUUUUAUUGCUAUUAGGAGCAUGUUAAUGCCCUUGAUAAUGUCUCUACUUGCUUUGUAAUGUCUCUCGUUGAAGUAUAGAAUUCUUUUAUCUUCUUAUUACAUUAUGCAAAAACUUGAAUUGAAAAGAUAUUUGCAGGAACAUUUAAAGUAGUGCAUCAAUCAGCUUCAAAGAAGAGAAAAUGUUCUCGGAAUAGCUUAUAAAAGGAUAACUGUCAGUUUUAUUUUGGAUGAACAAAGGCGGCAACGUAAAAAGCACUUUAUUGUAAAAGCAUACUGUGCAAUUCAAUAAAUAUGCCAUAUAAAUAUAAAAGAGAAGAAAGUUCAUAAUUAUCUGAUGACUUAAAUGUAAUUUAAGUAAUACUUUUAAAAUGCAUCUAACAGUGAAGUACUCUUUUUCUUUUGGGUUCCGAGUUCUAGCCUCUAAGCCCCCAUUAGGUGAUAACUUAACUCUCUCUCUCUCUCUUUCUGAUAACAUAAGGACUUGAAUGGAUUAGUCAUGGUCCUGUUUUUAAUAUAUCUCAGAAUGAUACAGAAAAGAGUAUGUGUGUGGAAAGCAUUAGCAAAAAUUUUAACAACCACUUAAUGGUGCAAGCUUUUCAAAAUGAUUUGUUCUUGUCUGCCCGGUUUUCAAUUGUUUCUCAUCCUGUCAUUGCUGCCAUAAGACAAUUUUGAAUUUGAAUGUAACUGUAUUGUCACUUGAAAUAGCAUUUCCAAGUGUUUUGUGUUUGUUAGGUAAAUCUAUUAGCAUUGUGAUUGCCGGACUUUCUAAAUCAGAGGUGGUUGUUACUUUGUUACUUUCUACAUAAGGAUAUUUGCGCUCUUCCUUAUAACUAGAAAAAAAUAUAUAUAUAACUAGAAUAUAUAUAUAUAUAUGUAUACACACACAAUUUUAGAAAGUUGACUUUUAACUGUAAAUGUUAAAUAUAUAACCUUAUUUUCAAGUGUGUUUCUCAGGUAAUAAACUUUAGCCUGAUAAAUGCUCCAUAGAUGACUCUUUUUGACAAGGUUUAAAAAUCUACACUGUGAACUGUCUAUUAAAGAAUAUAUUCAGAUCCAGCACAUGGAAAACAUAUGUAAAUUUUCAGGAUAGGAAAAAAGAAUCUACAGAACUCUUUUUUUCCAUAAUUUCUGUUUCUACACAUAUCUAUGUGUAGGACAUAGGCAUGGACAGUUAACUCCCUAGCACAUAGAAGGCACUUGAUAAAUAUUUGUUGAUUAAGGUUAAAAUAUAAAAAGAAAAAUACCCCAAUCAGUAAAAAUCUGUCUUCUGUCUUGUAACCUGACAAAGAGAUACUAAUCUCUUAUUAAACACAGAAAUCGGCAUUUUUCCCAGACUCAGGCCUUUUUAAGAUUCAGAAAAACUUCAUUUGAAGUCAAAUAACCAGGCUAAUUCACUCCCCCACACUGUUGUCACUUAUAAAAUUAUAUUAAUGUUCAUAACAUUUCUAAAAAAUAAUCUUCAUUUAUUUUAAAGUUGUAAAUAUGGCUGGCACCUUGUAAUAAAAAAUCAAUUCAUAACUUUAUUUGUAACAUCAUUUUGAUAGCGACUUAUUUCUCAUCACUAUUGUACAUGACGCCUAAUUCAUUAAAAUAAUGUUCUCAUUUCAGUGGGUUUCAUCCAGACUCUGUAGAAAACAGUCCUCCGUCUGCUGCUACUCUCUGAUAUACCCCAUUUUCUCAUCCCUCCUUUCUCUCGGCCUGUUUGGGAACACUCUCAUUUUGAAAGUACAAGGAAAAUUAUCUCAUAAAAGAAAUUUAAUAACAACAGAACUUCUGAGAUUUCAAAAACGUAGAAUUUUUAAGUUAUUGAACUAUGGGAAAAGCUGUAAUUUAUAACCAGCAAGUUAGUAUGUUGUACACAUCUGUGUACUGUUUCAGAAAAUAAAGGUUGUUACUAUAGCAACUGCCACAUAAUAUGGAACAUACGUUAUUUGUGAGAUGCCAGGCUUCGUGUUAAAAAAAAAAAACAACAAUUCCCUCCUCAUGGCUGCUCAUGGAUGUUUCAAGGAUUUCCACCUUUUCCUUUACUAUUGUAAAGGAUUCUCAUUUUAAUAUUCUGUUAUUUUAAAUAUUUUUCUUAUUUUCAGUUUCUUAUACUUUCGGAGUUUGUUGGUUAAAUUAAAAGUUUGCAAAGUACUGC